AAACCAACAGGGAUUGCCUCAGUAACGGCGAGUGAAGCGGCAAGAGCUCAAAUUUGAAAUCUGGUACUUUCAGUGCCCGAGUUGUAAUUUGAAGAUUGUACUCUGGAGUUGGCCCUUAUCUAUGUUCCUUGGAACAGGACGUCACAGAGGGUGAGAAUCCCGUGCGAUGGGGAGCCCGAUUCCAUGUAGAGUGCUCUCGAAGAGUCGAGUUGUUUGGGAAUGCAGCUCUAAGUGGGUGGUAAAUUCCAUCUAAAGCUAAAUAUUGGCGAGAGACCGAUAGCGAACAAGUACAGUGAUGGAAAGAUGAAAAGAACUUUGAAAAGAGAGUGAAAAAGUACGUGAAAUUGUUGAAAGGGAAGGUUAUUAGAUCAGACUUGGUGUUUGGCGAUAUUCAGUCUCUCGUAGACUGUUCACUCGCCCUUCACUGGGCCAGCAUCGGUUUGGGUGGCAGGACAAUGGCUGUUGAACGUGGCUUCUCCGGAAGUGUUAUAGCUUCAGCUGAUACUGCCUACCUAGACCGAGGACUGCGGCUUCUGCCUAGGAUGCUGGCGUAAUGAUCUAAUAUCGC
rnacentral:rRNA from 1 species